rnacentral:lncRNA from 1 species
GGUGACCUCCCGGGAAGUCCUCGUGUUGCACCCCUUUUUAUUUUUUAAUUUUUUUUUACCCUAAAACGAGUUUAAACUUGGUAACCUCAUAACUUUGAACGUGAGGAACUACGUCGCCCAUAGCACCAUUUCGGAAAGCCCAGAAACCAUAAUGGGCGGUGAAUAAGGGGCACAAUUUUUCGGGCUCGAAUUCAGCCGUUUUGACCCUCAAACGGGCUGCGGAAAGUUAUGGCACGUAAAAAAGAUCGAAAGCGGAUUCUCAAGGUGUUUUUGAUGCUUUCUUAACGCCGUUAACCUCGAUGCACUUUUUCGCUCGAAACAAAACGGCAAGAAAAUCAUGUGCGCCCCACGGUCUUACACUUGGAUGGCUGGCAGCAAAAAGGAUAUAUAGAAACGAGAGUGAUGUACUGACGGGUGCGAUCAACCAGCACUAAUGCACCGGAUCCCAUCAGAACUCUGCAGUUAAUCGUGCUUGGGCGAGAGUAGUACUAGGAUGGUGACCUCCCGGGAAGUCCUCGGUGCACCCCUUUUAUUUUUUAAUUUUUUUACCCUAAAACGAGUUAAACUUGGAAACUCAUAACUUUUGAACCGUGAGGAACUACGUCGCCCAUAGCACCAUUUUGAAAGCCCCAGAAACCAUAAUGGGCGGUGAGUAGGGGGCGCAAUUUUUCGGGCUCAAAUUCAGCCGUUUUGACCCUCAAACGGGCUGCGGAAAGUUAUAGCAUGCAAAAAGAUCGAAAGCGGAUUCUCAAUGUGUUUUUAAUGCUUUUCUUAACGCCGUUAACCUCGAUGCACUUUUCGCUCGAAACAACACGGCAAGAAAAUCAUGUGGGCCCACGGCCUUACACUUGGAUUGGCCGGGAAAAGGAUAUAUAGAAACGAGAGUGAUGUACUAACGGGUGUGAUCAUACCGGCACUAAUGCACCGGAUCCCAUCAGAACUCCGCAGUUAAGGGUGCUUGGGCGAGAGUAGUACUAGGAUGGGUGACCCUCCCGCGAAGUCCUCGUGUUGCACCCCUUUUUAUUUUUAAUUUUUUUUUACCCUAAAAAAGAUCGAAAGCGGAUUCUCAAGGUGUUUUUGAUGCUUUCUUAACGCCGUUAACCUCGAUGCACUUUUUUGCUCGAAACAAAACGGCAAGAAAAUCAUGUGCGCCCCACGGUCUUACACUUGGAUUGGCCGCGAAAAGGAUAUAUAGAAACGAGAGUGAUGUACUGACGGGUGCGAUCAUACCAGCACUAAUGCACGGGAUCCCAUCAAACUCCGCAGUUAAGCGUGCUUGGGCGAGUAGUACUAGGAUGGGUGACCUCCCGGGGUCCUCGUGUUGCACCCCUUUUUAUUUUUUAAUUUUUUUUAGCCUAAAACGAGUCUAAACUUGAAAACCUCAUAACUUUUGAACCGUGAGGAACUACGUCGCCCAUAGCACCAUUCGGAAAGCCCCAGAAACCAUAAUCGGCGGUGAAUAGGGGGCGCAAUUUUUCGGGCUCAAAUUCAGACGUUUUGACCCUCAAACGGGCUGCGGAAAGCUAUGGCACGUAAAAAAGAUCGAAAGGUGAUUCUCAAGGUGUUUUGAUGCUUUCUUAACGUUGUUAACCUCGAUGCACUUUUUCGCUCGAAACAAAACGGCAAGAAAAUCAUGUGCGCCCCACGGUCCUUACACUUGGAUUGGCCGCGAAAAGGAUAUAUAGAAACGAGAGUGAUGUACUGACGGGUGCGAUCAAACCAGCACUAAUGCACCGAUCCCAUCAGAACUCUACAGUUUACGUGCUUGGGCGAGAGUAGUACUAGGAUGGGUGACCUCCCGGGAAGUCCUCGUGUUGCACCCCUUUUAUUUUUUAAUUUUUUUUUUACCCUAAAACGAGUUUUAAACUUGGUAACCUCAUAACUUUUGAACGGUGAGGAACUACGUCGCCCAUAGCACCAUUUCGGAAAGCCCCAGAAACCAUAAUGGGCGGUGAAUAAGGGGCACAAUUUUUCGGGCUCGAAUUCAGCCGUUUUGACCCUCAAACGGGCUGCGGAAAGUUAUGGCACGUAAAAAAGAUCGAAAGCGGAUUCUCAAGGUGUUUUUGAUGCUUUCUUAACGCCGUUAACCUCGAUGCACUUUUUCGCUCGAAACAAAACGGCAAGAAAAUCAUGUGCGCCCCACGGUCUUACACUUGGAUUGGCAGCAAAAAGGAUAUAGAAACGAGAGUGAUGUACUGACGGGUGCGAUCAAACCAGCACUAAUGCACCGGAUCCCAUCAGAACUCUGCAGUUAAUCGUGCUUGGGCGAGAGUAGUACUAGGAUGGGUGACCUCCCGGGAAGUCCUCGUGUUGCACCCCUUUUUAUUUUUUAAUUUUUUUUACCCUAAAACGAGUUUAAACUUGGAAACCUCAUAACUUUUGAACCGUGAGGAACUACGUCGCCCAUAGCACCAUUUCGGAAAGCCCCAGAAACCAUAAUGGGCGGUGAGUAGGGGGCGCAAUUUUUCGGGCUCAAAUUCAGCCGUUUUGACCCUCAAACGGGCUGCGGAAAGUUAUGGCACGUAAAAAAGAUCGAAAGCGGAUUCUCAAUGUGUUUUUAAUACUUUCUUAACGCCGUUAACCUCGAUGCACUUUUUCGCUCGAAACACAACGGCAAGAAAAUCAUGUGGGCCCCACGGCCUUACACUUGGAUUGGCCGGGAAAAGGAUAUAUAGAAACGAGAGUGAUGUACUAACGGGUGUGAUUAUACCGGCACUAAUGCACCGGAUCCCAUCAGAACUCCGCAGUUAAGGGUGCUUGGGCGAGAGUAGUACUAGGAUGGGUGACCUCUCGGGAAGUCCUCGUGUUGCACCCCAUUUUAUUUUUUAAUUUUAUUUUACCCUAAAAAAAAUCGAAAGCGGAUUCUCAAGGUGUUUUUGAUGCUUUCUUAACGCCGUUAACCUCGAUGCACUUUUUUGCUCGAAACAAAACGGCAAGAAAAUCAUGUGCGCCCCACGGUCUUACACUUGGAUUGGCCGCGAAAAGGAUAUAUAGAAACGAGAGUGAUGUACUGACGGGUGCGAUCAUACCAGCACUAAUGCACGGGAUCCCAUCAAAACUCCGCAGUUAAGCGUGCUUGGGCGAGAGUAGUACUAGGAUGGGUGACCUCCCGGGAAGUCCUCGUGUUGCACCCUUUUUAUUUUUUAAUUUUUUUUUUAGCCUAAAACGAGUCUAAACUUGAAAACCUCAUAACUUUUGAACCGUGAGGAACUACGUCGCCCAUAGCACCAUUUCGGAAAGCCCCAGAAACCAUAAUCGGCGGUGAAUAGGGGCGCAAUUUUUCGGGCUCAAAUUCAGACGUUUUGACCCUCAAACGGGCUGCGGAAAGCUAUGGCACGUAAAAAAGAUCGAAAGCUGAUUCUCAAGGUGUUUUUGAUGCUUUCUUAACGUUGUUAACCUCGAUGCACUUUUUCGCUCGAAACAAAACGGCAAGAAAAUCAUGUGCGCCCCACGGUCUUACACUUGGAUUGGCCGCGAAAAGGAUAUAUAGAAACGAGAGUGAUGUACUGACGGGUGCGAUCAAACCAGCACUAAUGCACCGGAUCCCAUCAGAACUCUACAGUUAUUCGUGCUUGGGCGAGAGUAGUACUAGGAUGGGUGACCUCCCGGGAAGUCCUCGUGUUGCACCCCUUUUUAUUUUUUAAUUUUUUUUUUACCCUAAAACGAGUUUAAACUUGGUAACCUCAUAACUUUUGAACGGUGAGGAACUACGUCGCCCAUAGCACCAUUUCGGAAAGCCCCAGAAACCAUAAUGGGCGGUGAAUAAGGGGCACAAUUUUUCGGGCUCGAAUUCAGCCGUUUUGACCCUCAAACGGGCUGCGGAAAGUUAUGGCACGUAAAAAAGAUCGAAAGCGGAUUCUCAAGGUGUUUUUGAUGCUUUCUUAACGCCGUUAACCUCGAUGGACUUUUUCGCUCGAAACAAAACGGCAAGAAAAUCAUGUGCGCCCCACGGUCUUACACUUGGAUUGGCAGCAAAAAGGAUAUAUAGAAACGAGAGUGAUGUACUGACGGGUGCGAUCAAACCAGCACUAAUGCACCGGAUCCCAUCAGAACUCUGCAGUUAAUCGUGCUUGGGCGAGAGUAGUACUAGGAUGGGUGACCUCCCGGGAAGUCCUCGUGUUGCACCCCUUUUUAUUUUUUAAUUUUUUUUACCCUAAAACGAGUUUAAACUUGGAAACCUCAUAACUUUUGAACCGUGAGGAACUACGUCGCCCAUAGCACCAUUUUGGAAAGCCCAGAAACCAUAAUGGGCGGUGAGUAGGGGGCGCAAUUUUUCGGGCUCAAAUUCAGCCGUUUUGACCCUCAAACGGGCUGCGGAAAGUUAUAGCAUGCAAAAAAGAUCGAAAGCGGAUUCUCAAUGUGUUUUUAAUGCUUUCUUAACGCCGUUAACCUCGAUGCACUUUUUCGCUCGAAACACAACGGCAAGAAAAUCAUGUGGGCCCACGGCCUUACACUUGGAUUGGCCGGGAAAAGGAUAUAUAGAAACGAGAGUGAUGUACUAACGGGUGUGAUCAUACCGGCACUAAUGCACCGGAUCCCAUCAGAACUCCGCAGUUAAGGGUGCUUGGGCGAGAGUAGUACUAGGAUGGGUGACCUCCCGCGAAGUCCUCGUGUUGCACCCCUUUUUAUUUUUUAAUUUUUUUUUACCCUAAAAAGAUCGAAAGCGGAUUCUCAAGGUGUUUUUGAUGCUUUCUUAACGCCGUUAACCUCGAUGCACUUUUUCGCUCGAAACAAAACGGCAAGAAAAUCAUGUGCGCCCCACGGUCUUACACUUGGAUUGGCCGCGAAAAGGAUAUAUAGAAACGAGAGUGAUGUACUGACGGGUGCGAUCAAACCAGCACUAAUGCACCGGAUCCCAUCAGAACUCUACAGUUAUUCGUGCUUGGGCGAGAGUAGUACUAGGAUGGGUGACCUCCCGGGAAGUCCUCGUGUUGCACCCCUUUUUAUUUUUUAAUUUUUUUUUACCCUAAAACGAGUUUAAACUUGGUAACCUCAUAACUUUUGAACGGUGAGGAACUACGUCGCCCAUAGCACCAUUUCGGAAAGCCCCAGAAACCAUAAUGGGCGGUGAAUAAGGGGCACAAUUUUUCGGGCUCGAAUUCAGCCGUUUUGACCCUCAAACGGGCUGCGGAAAGUUAUGGCACGUAAAAAAGAUCGAAAGCGGAUUCUCAAGGUGUUUUUGAUGCUUUCUUAACGCCGUUAACCUCGAUGCACUUUUUCGCUCGAAACAAAACGGCAAGAAAAUCAUGUGCGCCCCACGGUCUUACACUUGGAUUGGCAGCAAAAAGGAUAUAUAGAAACGAGAGUGAUGUACUGACGGGUGCGAUCAAACCAGCACUAAUGCACCGGAUCCCAUCAGAACUCUACAGUUAUUCGUGCUUGGGCGAGAGUAGUACUAGGAUGGGUGACCUCCCGGGAAGUCCUCGUGUUGCACCCCUUUUUAUUUUUUAAUUUUUUUUUUACCCUAAAACGAGUUUAAACUUGGUAACCUCAUAACUUUUGAACGGUGAGGAACUACGUCGCCCAUAGCACCAUUUCGGAAAGCCCCAGAAACCAUAAUGGGCGGUGAAUAAGGGGCACAAUUUUUCGGGCUCGAAUUCAGCCGUUUUGACCCUCAAACGGGCUGCGGAAAGUUAUGGCACGUAAAAAAAGAUCGAAAGCGGAUUCUCAAGGUGUUUUUGAUGCUUUCUUAACGCCGUUAACCUCGAUGCACUUUUUCGCUCGAAACAAAACGGCAAGAAAAUCAUGUGCGCCCCACGGUCUUACACUUGGAUUGGCAGCAAAAAGGAUAUAUAGAAACGAGAGUGAUGUACUGACGGGUGCGAUCAAACCAGCACUAAUGCACCGGAUCCCAUCAGAACUCUGCAGUUAAUCGUGCUUGGGCGAGAGUAGUACUAGGAUGGGUGACCUCCCGGGAAGUCCUCGUGUUGCACCCCUUUUUAUUUUUUAAUUUUUUUUACCCUAAAACGAGUUUAAACUUGGAAACCUCAUAACUUUUGAACCGUGAGGAACUACGUCGCCCAUAGCACCAUUUUGGAAAGCCCCAGAAACCAUAAUGGGCGGUGAGUAGGGGGCGCAAUUUUUCGGGCUCAAAUUCAGCCGUUUUGACCCUCAAACGGGCUGCGGAAAGUUAUAGCAUGCAAAAAAGAUCGAAAGCGGAUUCUCAAUGUGUUUUUAAUGCUUUCUUAACGCCGUUAACCUCGAUGCACUUUUUCGCUCGAAACACAACGGCAAGAAAAUCAUGUGGGCCCCACGGCCUUACACUUGGAUUGGCCGGGAAAAGGAUAUAUAGAAACGAGAGUGAUGUACUAACGGGUGUGAUCAUACCGGCACUAAUGCACCGGAUCCCAUCAGAACUCCGCAGUUAAGGGUGCUUGGGCGAGAGUAGUACUAGGAUGGGUGACCUCCCGCGAAGUCCUCGUGUUGCACCCCUUUUUAUUUUUUAAUUUUUUUUUACCCUAAAAAAGAUCGAAAGCGGAUUCUCAAGGUGUUUUUGAUGCUUUCUUAACGCCGUUAACCUCGAUGCACUUUUUCGCUCGAAACAAAACGGCAAGAAAAUCAUGUGCGCCCCACGGUCUUACACUUGGAUUGGCCGCGAAAAGGAUAUAUAGAAACGAGAGUGAUGUACUGACGGGUGCGAUCAAACCAGCACUAAUGCACCGGAUCCCAUCAGAACUCUACAGUUAUUCGUGCUUGGGCGAGAGUAGUACUAGGAUGGGUGACCUCCCGGGAAGUCCUCGUGUUGCACCCCUUUUUAUUUUUUAAUUUUUUUUUACCCUAAAACGAGUUUAAACUUGGUAACCUCAUAACUUUUGAACGGUGAGGAACUACGUCGCCCAUAGCACCAUUUCGGAAAGCCCCAGAAACCAUAAUGGGCGGUGAAUAAGGGGCACAAUUUUUCGGGCUCGAAUUCAGCCGUUUUGACCCUCAAACGGGCUGCGGAAAGUUAUGGCACGUAAAAAAGAUCGAAAGCGGAUUCUCAAGGUGUUUUUGAUGCUUUCUUAACGCCGUUAACCUCGAUGCACUUUUUCGCUCGAAACAAAACGGCAAGAAAAUCAUGUGCGCCCCACGGUCUUACACUUGGAUUGGCCGCGAAAAGGAUAUAUAGAAACGAGAGUGAUGUACUGACGGGUGCGAUCAAACCAGCACUAAUGCACCGGAUCCCAUCAGAACUCUGCAGUUAAUCGUGCUUGGGCGAGAGUAGUACUAGGAUGGGUGACCUCCCGGGAAGUCCUCGUGUUGCACCCCUUUUUAUUUUUUAAUUUUUUUUUACCCUAAAACGAGUUUAAACUUGGAAACCUCAUAACUUUUGAACCGUGAGGAACUACGUCGCCCGUAGCACUAUUUCGGAAAGCCCCAGAAACCAUAAUCGGCGGUGAAUAGGGGGCGCAAUUUUUCAGGCUCAAAUUCAGCCGUUUUGACCCUCAAACGGGCUGCGGAAAGCUAUGGCACGUAAAAAAGAUCGAAAGCGGAUUCUCAAGGUGUUUUUGAUGCUUUCUUAACGCCGUUAACCUCGAUGCACUUUUUCGCUCGAAACAAAACGGCAAGAAAAUCAUGUGGGCCCCACGGCCUUACACUUGGAUUGGCCGGGAAAAGGAUAUAUAGAAACGAGAGUGAUGUACUGACGGGUGUGAUCAUACCAGCACUAAUGCACCGGAUCCCAUCAGAACUCCGCAGUUAAGGGUGCUUGGGCGAGAGUAGUACUAGGAUGGGUGACCUCCCGGGAAGUCCUCGUGUUGCACCCCUUUUUAUUUUUUAAUUUUUUUUUACCCUAAAAAAGAUCGAAAGCGGAUUCUCAAGGUGUUUGUGAUGCUUUCUUAACGCCGUUAACCUCGAUGCACUUUUUCGCUCGAAACAAAACGGCAAGAAAAUCAUGUGCGCCCCACGGUCUUACACUUGGAUUGGCCGCGAAAAGGUUAUAUAGAAACGAGAUUGAUGUACUGACGGGUGCGAUCAUUCCAGCACUAAUGCACUGGAUCCCAUCAGAACUCUGCAGUUAAGCGUGCUUGGGCGAGAGUAGUACUAGGAUGGGUGACCUCCCGGGAAGUCCUCGUGUUGCACCCCUUUUUAUUUUUUAAUUUUUUUUAGCCUAAAACGAGUCUAAACUUGAAAACCUCAUAACUUUUGAACCGUGAGGAACUACGUCGCCCAUAGCACCAUUUCGGAAAGCCCCAGAAACCAUAAUCGGCGGUGAAUAGGGGGCGCAAUUUUUCGGGCUCAAAUUCAGACGUUUUGACCCUCAAACGGGCUGCGGAAAGCUAUGGCACGUAAAAAAGAUCGAAAGCUGAUUCUCAAGGUGUUUUUGAUGCUUUCUUAACGUUGUUAACCUCGAUGCACUUUUUCGCUCGAAACAAAACGGCAAGAAAAUCAUGUGCGCCCCACGGUCUUACACUUGGAUUGGCCGCGAAAAGGAUAUAUAGAAACGAGAGUGAUGUACUGACGGGUGCGAUCAAACCAGCACUAAUGCACCGGAUCCCAUCAGAACUCUACAGUUAUUCGUGCUUGGGCGAGAGUAGUACUAGGAUGGGUGACCUCCCGGGAAGUCCUCGUGUUGCACCCCUUUUUAUUUUUUAAUUUUUUUUUACCCUAAAACGAGUUUAAACUUGGUAACCUCAUAACUUUUGAACGGUGAGGAACUACGUCGCCCAUAGCACCAUUUCGGAAAGCCCCAGAAACCAUAAUGGGCGGUGAAUAAGGGGCACAAUUUUUCGGGCUCGAAUUCAGCCGUUUUGACCCUCAAACGGGCUGCGGAAAGUUAUGGCACGUAAAAAAGAUCGAAAGCGGAUUCUCAAGGUGUUUUUGAUGCUUUCUUAACGCCGUUAACCUCGAUGCACUUUUUCGCUCGAAACAAAACGGCAAGAAAAUCAUGUGCGCCCCACGGUCUUACACUUGGAUUGGCAGCAAAAAGGAUAUAUAGAAACGAGAGUGAUGUACUGACGGGUGCGAUCAAACCAGCACUAAUGCACCGGAUCCCAUCAGAACUCUGCAGUUAAUCGUGCUUGGGCGAGAGUAGUACUAGGAUGGGUGACCUCCCGGAAAGUCCUCGUGUUGCACCCCUUUUUAUUUUUUAAUUUUUUUUACCCUAAAACGAGUUUAAACUUGGAAACCUCAUAACUUUUGAACCGUGAGGAACUACGUCGCCCAUAGCACCAUUUUGGAAAGCCCCAGAAACCAUAAUGGGCGGUGAGUAGGGGGCGCAAUUUUUCGGGCUCAAAUUCAGCCGUUUUGACCCUCAAACGGGCUGCGGAAAGUUAUAGCAUGCAAAAAAGAUCGAAAGCGGAUUCUCAAUGUGUUUUUAAUGCUUUCUUAACGCCGUUAACCUCGAUGCACUUUUUCGCUCGAAACACAACGGCAAGAAAAUCAUGUGGGCCCCACGGCCUUACACUUGGAUUGGCCGGGAAAAGGAUAUAUAGAAACGAGAGUGAUGUGCUAACGGGUGUGAUCAUACCGGCACUAAUGCACCGGAUCCCAUCAGAACUCCGCAGUUAAGGGUGCUUGGGCGAGAGUAGUACUAGGAUGGGUGACCUCCCGCGAAGUCCUCGUGUUGCACCCCUUUUUAUUUUUUAAUUUUUUUUUACCCUAAAAAAGAUCGAAAGCGGAUUCUCAAGGUGUUUUUGAUGCUUUCUUAACGCCGUUAACCUCGAUGCACUUUUUCGCUCGAAACAAAACGGCAAGAAAAUCAUGUGCGCCCCACGGUCUUACACUUGGAUUGGCCGCGAAAAGGAUAUAUAGAAACGAGAGUGAUGUACUGACGGGUGCGAUCAUACCAGCACUAAUGCACGGGAUCCCAUCAAAACUCCGCAGUUAAGCGUGCUUGGGCGAGAGUAGUACUAGGAUGGGUGACCUCCCGGGAAGUCCUCGUGUUGCACCCCUUUUUAUUUUUUAAUUUUUUUUAGCCUAAAACGAGUCUAAACUUGAAAACCUCAUAACUUUUGAACCGUGAGGAACUACGUCGCCCAUAGCACCAUUUCGGAAAGCCCCAGAAACCAUAAUCGGCGGUGAAUAGGGGGCGCAAUUUUUCGGGCUCAAAUUCAGACGUUUUGACACUCAAACGGGCUGCGGAAAGCUAUGGCACGUAAAAAAGAUCGAAAGCUGAUUCUCAAGGUGUUUUUGAUGCUUUCUUAACGUUGUUAACCUCGAUGCACUUUUUCGCUCGAAACAAAACGGCAAGAAAAUCAUGUGUGCCCCACGGUCUUACACUUGGAUUGGCCGCGAAAAGGAUAUAUAGAAACGAGAGUGAUGUACUGACGGGUGUGAUCAAACCAGCACUAAUGCACCGGAUCCCAUCAGAACUGUACAGCUAAUCGUGCUUGGGCGAGAGUAGUACUAGGAUGGGUGACCUCCCGGGAAGUCCUCGUGUUGCACCCCUUUUUAUUUUUUAAUAUUUUUUUUACCCUAAAACGAGUUUAAACUUGGAAACCUCAUAACUUUUGAACCGUGAGGAACUACGUCGCCCAUAGCACCAUUUCGGAAAGCCCAAGAAACCAUAAUCGGCGGUGAAUAAGGGGCACAAUUUUUCGGGCUCGAAUUCAGCCGUUUUGACCCUCAAACGGGCUGCGGAAAGUUAUGGCACGUAAAAAAGAUCGAAAGCAGAUUCUCAAGGUGUUUUUGAUGCUUUCUUAACGCCGUUAACCUCGAUGCACUUUUUCGCUCGAAACAAAACGGCAAGAAAAUCAUGUGGGCCCCACGGACUUACACUUGGAUUGGCCGGGAAAAGGAUAUAUAGAAACGAGAGUGAUGUACUGACGGGUGUGAUCAAACCAGCACUAAUGCACCGGAUCCCAUCAGAACUGUACAGCUAAUCGUGCUUGGGCGAGAGUAGUACUAGGAUGGGUGACCUCCCGGGAAGUCCUCGUGUUGCACCCCUUUUUAUUUUUUAAUAUUUUUUUUACCCUAAAACGAGUUUAAACUUGGAAACCUCAUAACUUUUGAACCGUGAGGAACUACGUCGCCCAUAGCACCAUUUCGGAAAGCCCAAGAAACCAUAAUCGGCGGAGAAUAAGGGGCACAAUUUUUCGGGCUCGAAUUCAGCCGUUUUGACCCUCAAACGGGCUGCGGAAAGUUAUGGCACGUAAAAAAGAUCGAAAGCAGAUUCUCAAGGUGUUUUUGAUGCUUUCUUAACGCCGUUAACCUCGAUGCACUUUUUCGCUCGAAACACAACGGCAAGAAAAUCAUGUGGGCCCCACGGCCUUACACUUGGAUUGGCCGGGAAAAGGAUAUAUAGAAACGAGAGUGAUGUGCUAACGGGUGUGAUCAUACCGGCACUAAUGCACCGGAUCCCAUCAGAACUCCGCAGUUAAGGGUGCUUGGGCGAGAGUAGUACUAGGAUGGGUGACCUCCCGCGAAGUCCUCGUGUUGCACCCCUUUUUAUUUUUUAAUUUUUUUUUACCCUAAAAAAGAUCGAAAGCGGAUUCUCAAGGUGUUUUUGAUGCUUUCUUAACGCCGUUAACCUCGAUGCACUUUUUCGCUCGAAACAAAACGGCAAGAAAAUCAUGUGCGCCCCACGGUCUUACACUUGGAUUGGCCGCGAAAAGGAUAUAUAGAAACGAGAGUGAUGUACUGACGGGUGCGAUCAUACCAGCACUAAUGCACGGGAUCCCAUCAAAACUCCGCAGUUAAGCGUGCUUGGGCGAGAGUAGUACUAGGAUGGGUGACCUCCCGGGAAGUCCUCGUGUUGCACCCCUUUUUAUUUUUUAAUUUUUUUAGCCUAAAACGAGUCUAAACUUGAAAACCUCAUAACUUUUGAACCGUGAGGAACUACGUCGCCCAUAGCACCAUUUCGGAAAGCCCCAGAAACCAUAAUCGGCGGUGAAUAGGGGGCGCAAUUUUUCGGGCUCAAAUUCAGACGUUUUGACACUCAAACGGGCUGCGGAAAGCUAUGGCACGUAAAAAAGAUCGAAAGCUGAUUCUCAAGGUGUUUUUGAUGCUUUCUUAACGUUGUUAACCUCGAUGCACUUUUUCGCUCGAAACAAAACGGCAAGAAAAUCAUGUGUGCCCCACGGUCUUACACUUGGAUUGGCCGCGAAAAGGAUAUAUAGAAACGAGAGUGAUGUACUGACGGGUGUGAUCAAACCAGCACUAAUGCACCGGAUCCCAUCAGAACUGUACAGCUAAUCGUGCUUGGGCGAGAGUAGUACUAGGAUGGGUGACCUCCCGGGAAGUCCUCGUGUUGCACCCCUUUUUAUUUUUUAAUAUUUUUUUACCCUAAAACGAGUUUAAACUUGGAAACCUCAUAACUUUUGAACCGUGAGGAACUACGUCGCCCAUAGCACCAUUUCGGAAAGCCCAAGAAACCAUAAUCGGCGGUGAAUAAGGGGCACAAUUUUUCGGGCUCGAAUUCAGCCGUUUUGACCCUCAAACGGGCUGCGGAAAGUUAUGGCACGUAAAAAAGAUCGAAAGCAGAUUCUCAAGGUGUUUUUGAUGCUUUCUUAACGCCGUUAACCUCGAUGCACUUUUUCGCUCGAAACAAAACGGCAAGAAAAUCAUGUGGGCCCCACGGACUUACACUUGGAUUGGCCGGGAAAAGGAUAUAUAGAAACGAGAGUGAUGUACUGACGGGUGUGAUCAAACCAGCACUAAUGCACCGGAUCCCAUCAGAACUGUACAGCUAAUCGUGCUUGGGCGAGAGUAGUACUAGGAUGGGUGACCUCCCGGGAAGUCCUCGUGUUGCACCCCUUUUUAUUUUUUAAUAUUUUUUUUACCCUAAAACGAGUUUAAACUUGGAAACCUCAUAACUUUUGAACCGUGAGGAACUACGUCGCCCAUAGCACCAUUUCGGAAAGCCCAAGAAACCAUAAUCGGCGGAGAAUAAGGGGCACAAUUUUUCGGGCUCGAAUUCAGCCGUUUUGACCCUCAAACGGGCUGCGGAAAGUUAUGGCACGUAAAAAAGAUCGAAAGCAGAUUCUCAAGGUGUUUUUGAUGCUUUCUUAACGCCGUUAACCUCGAUGCACUUUUUCGCUCGAAACAAAACGGCAAGAAAAUCAUGUGGGCCCCACGGACUUACACUUGGAUUGGCCGGGAAAAGGAUAUAUAGAAACGAGAGUGAUGUAUUGACGGGUGUGAUCAUACCAGCACUAUUGCACCGGAUCCCAUCAGAACUCUGCAGUUAAUCGUGCUUGGGCGAGAGUAGUACUAGGAUGGGUGACAUCCCGGGAAGUCCUCGUGUUGCACCCCUUUUUAUUUUUUAAUUUUUUUUUACCCUAAAACGAGUUUAAACUUGGAAACCUCAUAACUUUUGAACCGUGAGGAACUACGUCGCCCAUAGCACCAUUUUGGAAAGCCCCAGAAACCAUAAUGGGCGGUGAGUAGGGGGCGCAAUUUUUCGGGCUCAAAUUCAGCCGUUUUGACCCUCAAACGGGCUGCGGAAAGUUAUAGCAUGCAAAAAAGAUCGAAAGCGGAUUCUCAAUGUGUUUUUAAUGCUUUCUUAACGCCGUUAACCUCGAUGCACUUUUUCGCUCGAAACACAACGGCAAGAAAAUCAUGUGGGCCCCACGGCCUUACACUUGGAUUGGCCGGGAAAAGGAUAUAUAGAAACGAGAGUGAUGUACUAACGGGUGUGAUCAUACCGGCACUAAUGCACCGGAUCCCAUCAAAACUCCGCAGUUAAGGGUGCUUGGGCGAGAGUAGUACUAGGAUGGGUGACCUCCCGCGAAGUCCUCGUGUUGCACCCCUUUUUAUUUUUUAAUUUUUUUUUACCCUAAAAAAGAUCGAAAGCGGAUUCUCAAGGUGUUUUUGAUGCUUUCUUAACGCCUUUAACCUCGAUGCACUUUUUCGCUCGAAACAAAACGGCAAGAAAAUCAUGUGCGCCCCACGGUCUUACACUUGGAUUGGCCGCGAAAAGGAUAUAUAGAAACGAGAGUGAUGUACUGACGGGUGCGAUCAUACCAGCACUAAUGCACGGGAUCCCAUCAAAACUCCGCAGUUAAGCGUGCUUGGGCGAGAGUAGUACUAGGAUGGGUGACCUCCCGGGAAGUCCCCGUGUUGCACCCCUUUUUAUUUUUUAAUUUUUUUUAGCCUAAAACGAGUCUAAACUUGAAAACCUCAUAACUUUUGAACCGUGAGGAACUACGUCGCCCAUAGCACCAUUUCGGAAAGCCCCAGAAACCAUAAUCGGCGAUGAAUAGGGGGCGCAAUUUUUCGGGCUCAAAUUCAGACGUUGUGACCCUCAAACGGGCUGCGGAAAGCUAUGGCACGUAAAAAAGAUCGAAAGCUGAUUCUCAAGGUGUUUUUGAUGCUUUCUUAACGUUGUUAACCUCGAUGCACUUUUUCGCUCGAAACAAAACGGCAAGAAAAUCAUGUAUGCCCCACGGUCUUACACUUGGAUUGGCCGCGAAAAGGAUAUAUAGAAACGAGAGUGAUGUACUGACGGGUGUGAUCAAACCAGCACUAAUGCACCGGAUCCCAUCAGAACUCUACAGCUAAUCGUGCUUGGGCGAGAGUAGUACUAGGAUGGGUGACCUCCCGGGAAGUCCUCGUGUUGCACCCCUUUUUAUUUUUUAAUAUUUUUUUUACCCUAAAACGAGUUUAAACUUGGAAACCUCAUAACUUUUGAACCGUGAGGAACUACGUCGCCCAUAGCACCAUUUCGGAAAGCCCAAGAAACCAUAAUCGGCGGUGAAUAAGGGGCACAAUUUUUCGGGCUCGAAUUCAGCCGUUUUGACCCUCAAACGGGCUGCAGAAAGUUAUGGCACGUAAAAAAGAUCGAAAGCAGAUUCUCAAGGUGUUUUUGAUGCUUUCUUAACGCCGUUAACCUCGAUGCACUUUUUCGCUCGAAACAAAACGGCAAGAAAAUCAUGUGGGCCCCACGGACUUACACUUGGAUUGGCCGGGAAAAGGAUAUAUAGAAACGAGAGUGAUGUAUUGACGGGUGUGAUCAUACCAGCACUAUUGCACCGGAUCCCAUCAGAACUCCGCAGUGAAGCGUGCUUGGGCGAGAGUAGUUCUAGGAUGGGUGACCUCCCGGGAAGUCCUCGUGUUGAACCCCUUUUUAUUUUUUAAUUUUUUUUUAGCCUAAAACAAGUCUAAACUUGAAAACCUCAUAACUUUUGAACCAUGAGGAACUACGUCGCCCAUAGCACAAUUUCGGAAAGCCCCAGAAACCAUAAUCGGCGGUGAAUAGGGGGCGCAAUUUUUCGGGCUCAAAUUCAGCCGUUUUGACCCUCAAACGGGCUGCGGAAAUUUAUGGCACGUAAAAAAGAUCGAAAGCGGAUUCUCAAUGUGUUUUUAAUGCUUUCUUAACGCCGUUAACCUCGAUGCACUUUUUCGCUCGAAACAAAACGGCAAGAAAAUCAUGUGGGCCCCACGGCCUUACACUUGGAUUGGCCGGGAAAAGGAUAUAUAGAAACGAGAGUGAUGUACUGACGGGUGCGAUCAUACCAGCACUAACGCACCGGAUCCCAUCAGAACUCUGCAGUUAAGCGCGCUUGGGCGAGAGUAGUACUAGGAUGGGUGACCU